GAUGAAGAACGUAGCGAAAUGCGAUACGUAAUGUGAAUUGCAGAAUUCAGUGAAUCAUCGAAUCUUUGAACGCACAUUGCGCCUGCCAGCACUCUGGCAGGCAUGCCUGUUCGAGCGUCAUUUCAACCAUCAAGCCCUAGGCUUGCGUUGGAGCCCUGCGGCUGCCGCAGGCCCCUAAAAGCAGUGGCGGGCCCGCUAUCACACCGAGUGCAGUAGAUUACUCUUCGCUCAGGGCGUGUGGCGGGUUCCAGCCGUGAAACCCCCUACUUCUCAAGGUUGACCUCGGAUCAGGUAGGAAUACCCGCUGAACUUAAGCAUAUCAAUAAGCGGAGGA
rnacentral:misc_RNA from 1 species